ensembl:lncRNA
GUGAGCUGGGUGGGCUAGUAUUGCCAGGUAGUUGAUACUCAUCCACUUCACUCCCAUGAGCAGCCCUCAUCAGUGACUAACUGAUGGGAAAUGAUGGAAAACUCCCAGCUUACUGGCCUCUCGGAUGGGAUAAACUCAAGUUGACUACAAGAUACAGAGUGGGUGCAGCUCUGCUCCAGGCGUUUCUCGUUCUCUGGCUAUCCAGUGCACAUUCUUUUCAUGGUAUUUUACAGACAUCAUAUUCUUCCGAGUGUUCCCUGGGCCCAAAUUUGCAACCUAAUCACUUGCUGACGACCUUUACUCAAACAGAACAACUCCUUAACUUUGAGAUUUUUCUAUCAGAUCUUCCUGUCUAGGUGGAUAUCCAGUUGUUCCUGCACCCAUUUGUUGAAGAGACUGUCCUUUCUCCAUUGGAGUCCCCUUGCUCCUUUGUCAAAGAUCAGUUGGCUGUAUUUAUGUGGAUAUAUUUUUGGGCUCGGUACCCUGUUGUACUGAUCCAUUUGUCUAUUCUUUCACAAUACCACAUUGUUUUGAUUACUGUAAAUAAUAUACUAAGCCUUAAAGUUAUUAAGUCUUAAGGUUUAUAAGCAAGUCUUAAAGUUAAGUAGUCUCUGUCCCCUGACGUUGUUCUCUUUCUUCAGUGCCAGUUGUGCUGGCUAUUCUGCAUCUUUGCCUUUCCAUGUAAACUUCAGAAUCAGUUUCUGGAUACCCACAUCCAUUGAGAUUUCAAUUCUAAUGAUUUCAUAUGUAAUCAGAGAUGGAGGUAUUUAGAAGUCUUAUUUGGGUUUUUUUUUUGGUGUGUAUAUGUGUAUCUUUUAAAAUCUUCCUUAUUUAUUUAUAGUCUUAUAUUCUUUGUGUAUUCUAUUUAUUUAAAUAUUUUAAAUGUCAUUAUUCUAUAUUAUGCAUCAGAUAAUUCAAAUAUAUAACAUCCUAGAGUGUCGAAUUAUGUUGCUUAUUGUUUCCAUUGACUCUCAUGCAUGGCAGCUUCUUUUUUCACGUGUUUUGUUAUUGUGGAUCAUGAACUCAUACUCAUCAGGUUUUAAAUGUGGGAAAAUAUCAGACCUUGACUGGGCGUGUGUCCCUUUAGGAGAUUUUUUUUUUUUUUUAGUCUGAAAGGACUGAGCACAUAGGAAUAUUACCAACCUGGAUCAUAUAAAGUUAAUUUUUGAAGUUUAUUUUGAGGUCUCUCCAUGUGAUUUUUCUGGACCACAGAGGUAAUAUGUGUUCAAGUUUUUAACCCAUAUGACAGAAGGCCUAUGGUUCUGAAUCCUCAGAGAACUUUUUCAUCAUUCAAAUUUCAGCCCAAGAGGACUAGUUU